CACACGCCCGUCACACCAUGGAGUCAGUUGCUCUAGAAGUCGGUGAGCUAACCUUCGGGAAGCAGCCGCCUAAAGAGUGUCUGGUAACUGGGGUG
rnacentral:rRNA from 1 species